rnacentral:misc_RNA from 1 species
GAAAUGCGAUAAGUAAUGUGAAUUGCAGAAUUCAGUGAAUCAUCGAAUCUUUGAACGCACAUUGCGCCCCCUGGUAUUCCGGGGGGCAUGCCUGUUCGAGCGUCAUUUCACCACUCAAGCCUCGCUUGGUAUUGGGCGACGCGGUCCGCCGCGCGCCUCAAAUCGACCGGCUGGGUCUUCCGUCCCCUCAGCGUUGUGGAAACUAUUCGCUAAAGGGUGCCGCGGGAGGUCACGCCGCAAAACAACCCCAUUUCUAAGUUUGACCUCGGAUCAGGUAGGGAUACCCGCUGAACUUAAGC